rnacentral:rRNA from 1 species
UAAUGGGUCAGCGACUUAUAUUCUGUAGCAAGGUUAACCGAAUAGGGGAGCCGGAGGGAAACCGAGUCUUAAUUGGGCGUUAAGUUGCAGGGUAUAGACCCGAAACCCGGUGAUCUAGCCAUGGGCAGGUUGAAGGUUGGGUAACACUAACUGGAGGACCGAACCGACUAAUGUUGAAAAAUUAGCGGAUGACCUGUGGCUGGGGGUGAAAGGCCAAUCAAACCGGGAGAUAGCUGGUUCUCCCCGAAAGCUAUUUAGGUAGCGCCUCGUGAAUUCAUCUCCGGGGGUAGAGCACUGUUUCGGCUAGGGGGCCAUCCCGGCUUACCAACCCGAUGCAAACUGCGAAUACCGGAGAAUGUUAUCACGGGAGACACACGGCGGGUGCUAACGUCCGUCGUGAAGAGGGAAACAACCCAGACCGCCAGCUAAGGUCCCAAAGUCAUGGUUAAGUGGGAAACGAUGUGGGAAGGCCCAGACAGCCAGGAUGUUGGCUUAGAAGCAGCCAUCAUUUAAAGAAAGCGUAAUAGCUCACUGGUCGAGUCGGCCUGCGCG